UUCCGGUUGAUCCUGCCGGACCUGACUGCUAUCGGAUUGAUACUAAGCCAUGCGAGUCAUUGUAGCAAUACAAGGCAGACGGCUCAGUAACGCGUAGUCAAUCUACCCUAUGGACGAGAAUAACCUCGGGAAACUGAGGAUAAUUCUCGAUAGAUCAUAACUCCUGGAACGGUUUAUGGUAAAAAUGAUUCGUCGCCGUAGGAUGGGACUGCGGCCUAUCAGUUUGUUGGUGAGGUAAUGGCCCACCAAGCCUUUUACCGGUGCGGGCCGUGGGAGCGGGAGCCCGGAGAUGGGUACUGAGACAAGGACCCAGGCCCUACGGGGCGCAGCAGUCGCGAAACCUUUGCAAUAAGCGCAAGCUUGACAGGGCUAUCCCGAGUGCCAUCCGCUGAGGAAGGCUUUUACCCAGUCUAGAACGCUGGGGGAAUAAGGAGAGGGCAAGUCUGGUGUCAGCCGCCGCGGUAAUACCAGCUCUCCGAGUGGUGUGGAUGUUUAUUGGGCCUAAAGCAUCCGUAGCUGGCUAAGUUAGUCCCUUGUUAAAUCCACCGAAUUAAUCGUUGGAUUGCGGGGGAUACUGCUUGGCUAGGGGACGAGAGAGGCAGACGGUAUUUUUGGGGUAGGGGUGAAAUCCUAUAAUCCCGAGAAGACCACCAGUGGCGAAGGCUGUCUGCUAGAACGCGCCCGACGGUGUGGGAUGAAAGCUGGGGGAGCGAACCGGAUUAGAUACCCGGGUAGUCCCAGCUGUAAACGAUGCAGACUAGGUGUUUGGACGGCCACGUGCCGUUCUAGUGCCGCAGGGAAGCUGUUAAGUCUGCCGCCUGGGGAGUACGAUCGCAAGAUUGAAACUUAAAGGAAUUGGCGGGGGAGCACCACAAGGGGUGAAGCUUGCGGUUUAAUUGGAGUCAACGCCGGA
rnacentral:rRNA from 1 species